ensembl:lncRNA
UUAGUUAAUGUUAGUUAAUGUAUUAAUUAACAUUAACAAACAAUGAACAAUACAUUUAUUACUGCAUUUUUAAUCUUUGUUAAUGUUAGUUAAUGAAAAUACAGGUAUUCAUUGUUAGUUCAUGCUAAUUCACAGUGCAUUUACUAAUGUUAACAAGCACAACUUUUGAUUUGAAUAAUGGAUUAGUAAAAGUUGAAUGAACAUUAACUAAGAUUAAUAAAUGCUGUAGAAGGAUUGUUCUUGCUUAGUUCAUGUUAACUAAAGUAGUUAACUAACAUUAACUAAUGGAACCUUAUUCUAAAGUGUUACCUAAUCUCAUAAUAAUGAGCUUUCAUUUGAUUAGACACGUUGACACAGUGCAAAAAAAAAUCUGAAAGAUUUACAAUUUCAUCAUUAUAGCCUUUUUCAAAAUCCUAAAACUUUGUUUAUUGCCAGGUUUAAAUGAAAAAUAGAACAGUGCGGUCGUAGAUUUUUAGACCUGCCGUAUAGCUUACAGUAUAGCUAGCCUAUGUAUUCAGUUGUUAUUUUAUAUAUAUGGUAAUGUUAAUAAACGGGCUACACAGACAGUCUGCAGCACACAGUGCUCGUGUCGUAACAGCAGAUAAAGCCUCCAGCCUCAGCAGCUGAUGAGAGGAGCCCAGCCCUCUGCUGCUCUCAGGCUUCACAUCACGCGCGCAGCUCGAUGAUGAGGAAGAUGUGGAUGGAGCUGUCAGAGGGAUCUGCACAGGUGUGUGCGCGAGAUUCAUAGAUACACACCUGAUGAAACACUCAAACCCGAGCAGAAGCGCCUCUCUCCCACUCAAGAUGGAUAUUUGAUUGACCUCACAGAAGUGCAUGGACGCUUGAGAUGCAGGUUUUUAUUGAGGUUAUACACCUGUCGCAGCAGAACAUUACAGCAAGGAGCCGACAACGUGACAAAUGUUUCUAGCAGCACUUCUGGGCUUUUGGGAGGCUGUUUUUGCAGAUCGCUCUUCAGGACCCCCAGGUGGAUGCUGACAUUAUGCUCUUUCCAAGACCAAGGUGUGUGUGUGUGUGUGUGAGAGAGAGAGAGAGAGAGAGAGAGAGAGAGAGGAUGAGCUCAAGGACAGACUCAUGCUAUAUCACCUUAAAGUGGAGCUCAGGACUUGCUUUGGUUCUGUGUUUUGAU